rnacentral:tRNA from 1 species
GCGGUGGUAGCUCAGUUGGUUAGAGUAUCGGCCUGUCACGCCGGGGGUCGCGGGUUCGAGCCCCGUCCGCCGCGCCA